rnacentral:rRNA from 1 species
CCUACGGGAGGCAGAAGUGAGGAAUAUUGGUCAAUGGACGAGAGUCUGAACCAGCCAAGUAGCGUGAAGGAUGACUGCCCUAUGGGUUGUAAACUUCUUUUAUAUGGGAAUAAAACGUUCCACGUGUGGGAUUUUGUAUGUCCCAUAUGAAUAAGGUCCGGUUAACUCCGUGCCAGCAGCCGCGGUAAUACGGAGGGUCCGAGCGUUAUCCGGUUUUAUUGGGUUUAGGGGGAGCGUAGGUGGAUUGUUAAGCCAGUUGUGAAAGUUUGCGGCUCAACCGUAAAAUUGCAGUUGAAACUGGCAGUCUUGAGUACAGUAGAGGUGGGCGGAAUUCGUGGUGUAGCGGUGAAAUGCUUAGAUAUCACGAAGAACUCCGAUUGCGAAGGCAGUUCACUGGACUGCAACUGACACUGAGGCUCGAAAGUGUGGGUAUCAAACAGGAUUAGAUACCCUUGUAGUC